rnacentral:tRNA from 1 species
ACUUAUUUAAUAUAUUGAGUAUAUUUGACUUCCAAUCAAAAAGUUUGUAAAAACAAAAUAAGUA